AUACGUAGGUGACAAGCGUUAUCCGGAUUUACUGGGCGUAAAGGGCGUGUAGGCGGUCUUGCAAGUCAGAAGUGAAAUUCCUGAGCUCAACUCGGGCGCUGCUUCUGAAACUGCAGGACUUGAGUGCUGGAGAGGAUAGUGGAAUUCCUAGUGUAGCGGGAAAAUGCGCAGAUAUUAGGAGGAACACCGGUGGAGAAGGCGGCUAUCUGGACAGUAACUGACGCUGGGGCGCGAAAGCACGGGGAGCAAACAGGAUUAGAUACCCUGGUAGUCCGUGCCGUAAACGAUGAAUACUAGGUGUAGGGGGUAUCGACUCCCUCUGUGCCGCAGUUAACACAUUAAGUAUUCCACCUGGGGAGUACGGCCGCAAGGUUGAAACUCAAAGGAAUUGACGGGG
rnacentral:rRNA from 1 species